UGCAGUCGAGCGAGAAAAGGGGGGCAACUCCCUGAGUACAGCGGCGCACGGGUGAGUAACACGUGGGUAAUCUGCCCUGGAGUGGGGAAUAACACCGGGAAACCGGUGCUAAUACCGCAUACGAUCGCGAUGUCUGCGGACGUUGUGAUGAAAGGAGCAAUUCGCUCCAGGAGGAGCCCGCGGCUGAUUAGCUAGUUGGUGAGGUAAUGGCUCACCAAGGCUACGAUCAGUAUCCGGUCUGAGAGGACGGUCGGACACACUGGAACUGAGACACGGUCCAGACUCCUACGGGAGGCAGCAGUGGGGAAUUUUUGGCAAUGGGGGAAACCCUGACCAAGCAACGCCGCGUGGGUGAUGAAGUCUCUUGGGACGUAAAACCCUUUCGACGGGGAAGAAACCGCAAGGUUGACGGUACCCGUAGAAGAAGCCCCGGCUAACUCCGUGCCAGCAGCCGCGGUAAUACGGGGGGGGCAAGCGUUGUUCGGAAUUACUGGGCGUAAAGGGUGCGUAGGCGGUGCUCUAAGUCGGAUGUGAAAACUCUGGGCUCAACCCAGAGCCUGCAUCCGAAACUGGAGUGCUAGAGUUCUGGAGGGGGUAGCGGAAUUCCUGGUGUAGCGGUGAAAUGCGUAGAUAUCAGGAGGAACACCGGUGGCGAAGGCGGCUACCUGGACAGAAACUGACGCUGAGGCACGAAAGCUAGGGGAGCAAACAGGAUUAGAUUCCCUGGUAGUCCUAGCCCUAAACGAUGGAUACUUGGUGUGACCGGGAUUGAAUCCGGUCGUGCCGAAGCUAACGCAUUAAGUAUCCCGCCUGGGGAGUACGGUCGCAAGGCUGAAACUCAAAGAAUUGACGGGGGCCCGCACAAGCGGUGGAUAUGUGGUUUAUUCGACGCACGCGAAAACUUACCUGGGCUCGAACGGCUAGUGACAGGCGGC
rnacentral:rRNA from 1 species